UUUUUUUUUUUUUUUUUUUGAGAGGUGAACUUGCCGGGUCAGAUCUGGGUCAUGAGUUCAUGGCUUUUAGUUUUUAUAGUUUCAAGAUUUUGCCUUUCUGUUGAUGUUCUGGUUAGAGGGAUGUUGAAGUAGGCCUCAUCAAAUAGCCCUCCGGCCCUAAGCCCGACCCGGCCCUUGCAUUAGGGCGGGCCGGCCAUACCCUUUCUCAAAUAGGGUAGGGUAAGGGUCAUGCAAAUGAAGCACGGCCCUACCCUACAGCCUGGCCCGGCCCGGCCCUAAAAGCCUUACCCGGUCUGGCCCUAAAAUUUAUAUAUUAUUCUGAUUAUUUUCUAUUACAUAGAAAUAAAAUUUAAAAUCUGUAUAUGUGUUAUAUUAGAAAAUGGGUAUAAACCCAAUUACCCAAAUAACCUAUUAAUGUCUGAGGCCCAAUGGCCCAUUUCUUCCCAAGUCAGUCCAAGUCCAAGGCUUAAAACCUAGGCGUGUCUAGGACUCUAGGGCAACACAGCGUCUUCAUCUCUUGACUCUCUUCGAUAGUUCGACAAAUGGAGGCCGUCGCUCUCUUCUUCUCAAAACUCGAGUGUCCAUGCUCCGUCUUCUCCAGCCUCCGCCUCCUCCAGCCUUCGUCUUCUCCAGCAUCGAUGUGGUCUCGGUCUCCAGCAUCGAUGUGGUCUCAGUCUCCAGCAUCGAUGCCUCUUCCGCCUCCUCCAGCGUCGUGCCGCCUCCGCCUUCUCCAGCGUCGAUGUCGCCUUCUCUAGCUGAAGCUAGUGAUAUUUCGGAUGAGAAACCAUGCAAGACUGGUUCGAAGCCACCGGAGCCGCUCAAGGACUAUAUUCAUGUACGAGCAAGAAGGGGUCAAACCACUGACAGCCAUAGUCUAGCUGAAGAUCGCCGCCAUCUCCAAACCUCACAGCUAAACACUCGGCCUCCGGCCCUCCUCCUCCAGUCCGAACCAUUCAUCGACAUUUGCUUCUUCGAUACAUGGUAAGAUAAUACUGGUACUGCUGUUUUUACAUAGUUACAGUUGAAAUUUGAAUGUUUAAGUGAUGUUUGUGGUUUUCUGGUUGGGUUGAGAGAGAGAGAGAAGGAAGAAGAAGACUCCCAACUUUCAUGAAGAUGCGGCAAUGGUUCUUUCUUUGGUUGCCAUGGAUCUUCAUAUUAUUAUUCAAGCAUGGACGCAAGCAUAGAAGCAAAAGCAAGGAUGGUGGCGGAUAAGCGAUUUGUUUUCUGUAGUGUAUGGCAGAAAGUUGUGGACAAGAAACCCUACCCGAGAUGCUACAAGGGCUUCCCUGUCAGAUUAAGGUUCUUGACCCAACUUGCAGUCUUCAAAUUUUUUGGUGGUAGGGAAUUUGAUAGUAAAUAUACUUUACCAGAGCUCUUAUCUGAAUCAAAGGUUUGGAUCAACCCUUGUAACAACAAUGAGGUUGAAGAGGCCGCCAUGGUGCGUGAGAAACUUAGCGAGUUUGGUAUCCUAGAGGAACACCAGUCGGCUAUCAUUCAAAGAAUAUUCAAGGCAGUUCAAGUGGCCACCGCCCUCCCCCAACCCCUGAUGGGCAUAGAUGUUGCCAUAAGGGACGUGAAGGUGUUGAUAUCUGGCAGCACUGCUGACCUUGAUGAUUACGUUGAUUGGGUUAUAACGGACUCCUUUAAAAAGAUUGUUGAUCGUGGUCGGCGCUGCUGCAACAGGAUGUCAGAAUGUCCAAUUUGCAUGGAGGACGACAUCUUCCUCCACCUUGAUGAUGAAAAUAAAUUGGUUACUAGUUUUGCCCUGCUUACAUUAUUUUCACGGACAUUGCAUUGCCAAGUGGCUGGAAACUAAAAGCACUUGUCCUGUAUGCCGACUCAAAAAGCCAGUUAAACGGGAGGUAGUCUAGUUCCCGCUGGAAUAAGUUAAUAACACAUGCAAGAUUUUAUAUUCAAUUUCUUUUACACAUGCAAGAUUUUAUAUUCAA